UGCAAUCUGGAAGGCACCGUGAAAGUGUUUAAAAUGUUUAGGUGGCUUGUUUGGGAUGUAAUAGGUGACAAGACCUUUUGGAAGCUCAAGUUUGUUUUAAACGGUGGUUAUAAACUCUAGUUAUUUUGGAAAGGCACAAUUGCUGUUCAUGUAUUUUUCAAGUAAUGACUUCAACUUUUGGUCAUGCAUAGGUGCUGAAUUAUGAUUAAAUGUCACACGUCCCUUUUUCCAUCCUAGUUUAUGCUUGUUGCUUUUUUUAGUUUCAAUUUGCCGUGUAAUGAAAGUGGGAAAGUCUAAGAGAGAAAUGGGCAAUUUUCUUAGCCCAUAGAAUAAAUCUCUCAUGAGAUUUCAUAACCCUCAGUGCUGUCAAUAUGAAAUCCCAAGUAACUGUGCCAUAUCAGAAGAUUUGACUGGCUUUGCACGAAACCUUCCACUCCCUUUGGAAAAUGCAUAUAGAGAGAUGGAUAUAAUUUACCGGGAGAUUUUCAUUACUGCAUAUGGAAUUCAUCAAGAGCUUAAAAAUGGUCAUCAACCAGACAAGAUUGUUUAUUGAUCAUUCUGCACAGGUCUUGGGAAAGCUCUGCUUUCAACGAUUAGGUGCAGAAAUUUUGAAUUUUGGACGCGCGCUUUAUUCCCUCCAAGAAUUUAUUUUUCCCGCAACAUCCUUCCGGCAAAAUUUGAAGGCUCAUUACAGCAGAGGGAUAAUACUAUUAUAUAUAUACAUAGAAAGGCCGGUCCUCACUUAUCUCUCUCAAUUGAUCAAGCACGCAUAUGUUCUUCUCUCAAAGGCCAAGAUUGGUGGUUUUUAGUCCAAAAUGGAAGAACAGAUGCGGGAAUUGCUAAACGUGAAGGAGACCUCUGAGGAAUUGCUAAAAAAUGAAGGCCCACCUCCUGUCUAUCUCCUAAGAAUUGCAAAACGUGAAGGAGCUUAAGUUUUAUUGCUGUAAGAAAACCUCAGAGCAACUUCAAUACUUCAUCCAUUUGCUUCAAAUACUGUUAGAUCUAUAGUUUGGUGCCAUUUCGUGAAUCUUCAUAUCCUUCUUGUGCAUUCUUAUUACCAUUAUUGUGUUAGAUUUCUAAGAUUGCACUAUUUUCCUCACAAUUUUAGGAAAAUUGAGUUCCAACCAUUCUCUAGACUCUGUGAAGCUUCAUCAAGUGAGAUUUAAAGAGGGGCAGUGCUGAUAUGGAGCCAUAUCAAGUUAGUUCAAUGCCUUCUUUUGAACUUACCUACAAGUGUAAAGAACAGCUUCAUCAAGUGAGAUUUAAAGAGGGGCAAUGCUGAUAUGGAGCCACAUCAGGUUAGUUCGAUUGAAUGCCUUCUUCUGAACUUACCUACAAGUGUAAGGAACAGGUCAGCCUCUGUAUACAAACUAAGUGUCAGAGGCAAGAGGACUUGGGGGUGAUUUCAGGAUUCAUGGAAUCACAAUACCGGCUUGCAAUUUACUGAAGUUGAAGUUGCAGUUCCAUUCUACUAAUUUCUACAUUUGUACUAAACUCUAUUCCAACAUGGGUCGUUUGGGUUUAGGUGCUUUUUGUGCACUUAUUGUAAAACCUGAUUUCAGGUAUUAAUAUUUUGUUUCUUUUGGAUAUAUUCUCAUUGAUAGUUGACAAUUUUGGAUUGCCAAUUGGUUUCAAGCACUUCCUAUUGUAUGGCUCAAGAUAUUGAAAAAGCCGGAUGUUGAUGUAUUACUCUGCUAGCAAUUAUUUUUAGCUAA